UUGAUUGACGUUUGAUUUUAUAAUUCUGAUACAACUCAUAAUUCUAAUCUAAUAGAAACUCCAAAACCUCAGACAAAGAGGACUAGAAUUUUACAUAAAAAGCCGCGUUCUGCAGUACAAAAGUUAGAAGAGGCAUCUCAAAUAGUGGAAAGUGCCAAACUCCGCAACUCGGUAGUGUUCCAGUGUUUGCAGGAAGAGCACGAAACAAAACAAAGGCAGAUGGCUGAAACACAUGAGCUCAAACAGAAGCAACUUGCCGAAGCUUACGAAAGGGCUAGACAGGAGCAUCUUCUAAGGCUCAAAUUGUUACAGCAGCAAUUAAAUAAAUAAUUAUAUACUUAUAAAAAAAAUAAAACCCCUGUUUUAAAUGAAAUAUAACUUUUUAUUUAUUUUAAGUCCUUAACUAUCCACACCUAUGUAAAUAAAACAGCCUUAAAAAUAUGUUUCAAUAAAAGCAGCUCUAGCAGCUUGUCCAGCCAGAUUGCU